CCGGCCGCCAGCGGCGCUCGCAAAGUUCGGAUCCGCAAGGACCGGGCCAGCGGGACGUCCGCGUGGCAGGGUGCACUUUCUCCGCGGUCGAGUGCUACGACCGGUUUCGGGGCGGUCAGAAGCCCGGCGGAAAAGGAAGGCCCCCCCCCCGGGGGUGUCGUGUUAUAGGCCGCCGCGGUGGACUCGCCGCGAGACCGAGGACGCUUGCCGCGCCGAGCGGUCCCGGGCCGUCUGGGGAGGUUCGACCUCGGCUGCACUGCUCCGCAGAGCACCGUAACCGCCGCCCCAGCACGGGUCCGGAGACCGCCGGCGCCUCGGGUCAGUAGCG
rnacentral:rRNA from 1 species